rnacentral:ncRNA from 1 species
CCUUUGGCUAGGCUUAUAACCGAAAAGCGAGAAGCCCCCUCGCCUGCCAAAGACUAUUCAGGGGC